rnacentral:rRNA from 1 species
UACAGAGGGUGCGAGCGUUGUUCGGAAUUACUGGGCGUAAAGCGCGCGCAGGCGGCUUUUUAAGUCCAUCGGUGAAAUGCCGGGGCUCAACCCCGAGCGUGCCGAGGAUACUGGAAGGCUGGAGACACGUAGAGGCAAGCGGAAUUCCGGGUGUAGCGGUGGAAUGCGUAGAGAUCCGGAAGAACACCGGAGGCGAAGGCGGCUUGCUGGGCGUGAUCUGACGCUGAGGCGCGAAAGCGUGGGGAGCGAACAGG